CCCGGACACAGAGGGGAUUUCCAUGACUCAUAAUUCAGUCCCUGCUUGUGUAGGGCGCUGAAGCUAACGUAAAUUGAUCCAGCUGAUGGAAGAGGGGCCCUGGGGACAGAGAGCUAGGCUCUGCAGCUGGGGCAGUUGCUGAGGGUGUCACAUGACUGGCUGUGCUUGCUUAGGCUUGCCCCCAGUGCCCUCAUGAUCUCUCUGCAUCCUCUCCCACAGCCUCCACGAUACAUCUCUUGCCAUCUCCUUUGCCUCUAGAAGGGCCACCUCACAGCCUGGCUCUUUUCACGAAGCGAAGGUGGUUUUUCCAGGAAGUUGGCAGCCCCUCUCUUGACUUGAAAUGUGGAGAUUGGAGCCCCCACUGACAAUGUCACCUAUUGUUUAUCAGUAAAUUAUUCCAGCCAAGGACACCAUUUGGCCAUGAUGAAAUGGAGCAAGGGCUGUGUACAAUCAUGGAGAUGCUAGACCGGUCUCCAGCCUCUCAGUGCUCCUUAGCUGAAGUACGUCAUAGAACCUGAUGUCGCCGCAUGAUGGAAGGCAGAUCUGAGCAGUUCCUCCGGGGCAGGCAGACUGAAAGAGCGGCAGGGGCACCAGGCAAAAUAAACUCAGACCAUGCCCUGUCUUUAUCUCCUUGGGAAGAUAAUUUACCUUUUUGCGAUCUCAGAUUUUACUCCUGAGAAACACUAGGCGGGUGGUGUGUCCUUCCCAAGGCUCACGGGUGCCUAAGGAUGUCUAUUCUUGGGUCCAGCUGUCUGCCUGGAAUCUAGUGGACUCUCAUAAGAGUUUCUUCUUGGCUGGGGCCAGUAGGCAGAGGCUGGGAGGUGCUGCAUGAAACCCCAAAUAUGAGGCAGUGACCCAUUUCCCAGUGGGUAGUUAUGAAAGUCCUGUCUUUUUGGGGGGCUAGCUUGAAUAUAUAACUUUUUAAAAAGA